rnacentral:rRNA from 1 species
UACGGGUGGUGCAAGCGUUAUUCGGAAUAAUUGGGCGUACAGGGUGUGUAGGCGGUAUGUUAAGUCUGUUGUUAAAGACUCCGGCCUAACCGGAGACAGGCAGCGGAAACUGGCGUACUAGAGGGUGGAAGAGAGAAGUGGAAUUCUCGGUGUAGCGGUAAAAUGCGUAGAUAUCGAGAGGAACACCGAUGGCGAAGGCAGCUUCUUGGUCCAUACCUGACGCUGAAACACGAAAGCGUGGGGAGCAAACAGG